ACGGAAGGCAGCAGUGGGGGAUAUUGCACAAUGGGGGAAACCCUGAUGCAGCGACGCCGCGUGAGCGAAGAAGUAUUUCGGUAUGUAAAGCUCUAUCAGCAGGGAAGAAAAUGACGGUACCUGACUAAGAAGCUCCGGCUAAAUACGUGCCAGCAGCCGCGGUAAUACGUAUGGAGCAAGCGUUAUCCGGAUUUACUGGGUGUAAAGGGAGCGUAGACGGUUUGCCAAGUCUGAUGUGAAAGGUGGGGGCUCAACCCCCAAACUGCAUUGGAAACUGGUAGACUAGAGUGUCGGAGAGGUAAGUGGAAUUCCUAGUGUAGCGGUGAAAUGCGUAGAUAUUAGGAGGAACACCAGUGGCGAAGGCGGCUUACUGGGCGAUAACUGACGUUGAGGCUCGAAAGCGUGGGGAGCAAACAGGAUUAGAUACCCUGGUA
rnacentral:rRNA from 1 species